rnacentral:rRNA from 1 species
UACGUAGGGGGCAAGCGUUGUCCGGAUUCAUUGGGCGUAAAGAGCGUGUAGGCGGCCAGGUAGGUCGGUUGUGAAAACUGGAGGCUCAACCUUCAGACGUCGACCGAAACCAUCUGGCUAGAGUCCGGGAGAGGAGAGUGGAAUUCCUGGUGUAGCGGUGAAAUGCGCAGAUAUCAGGAAGAACACCCGUGGCGAAAGCGGCUCUCUGGAACGGUACUGACGCUGAGGCGCGAAAGCGUGGGGAGCAAACAGG